AUUGAACGCUGGCGGCAGGCCUAACACAUGCAAGUCGAGCGGAGCGGCGGACGGGUGCGUAAUGCCUAGGAAUCUGCCUGGUAGUGGGGGAUAACGUUCGGUAACGGGCGCUAAUACCGCAUACUAUCAGCUGCGCCUAGGUCGGAUUAGCUUUUUGGUGGGGUAAAGGGCUACCAAGGCGACGAUCCCUAGCUGGUCUUAGAGGAUGACCAGCCACACUGGGACUAAGACACGGACCAGACUCCUACGGGAGGCAGCAGUGGGGAAUAUUGCACAAUGGGCGCAAGCCUGAUGCAGCCAUGCCGCGUGUAUGAAGAAGGCCUUCGGGUUGUAAAGUACUUUCAGCGAGGAGGCGUUACUCGCAGAAGAAGCACCGGCUAACUCCGUGCCAGCAGCCGCGGUAAUAC
rnacentral:rRNA from 1 species